rnacentral:tRNA from 1 species
GAGGUAUUAGUAAAACAUUACAUGACUUUGUCAAAGUCAAAUUACAAGUGAAAAUCUCGUAUACCUCC